AGAGUUUGAUCCUGGCUCAGAACGAACGUUGGCGGUGUGCCUAAUACGUGCAAGUCGGGCGAGAAAACCGGGGCAACUCGGUGAGUACAGCGGCGGAAGGGUGCGUAAUACAUGGUUAACGUACCCCCCAGUUCGGGAUAACUGUCCGAAAGGUCAGCUAAUACCGGGUAAUGGCAACGGGUGGCAUCACUUGUUGCUUAAAGCCGUAAGGCGCUGGGGGAGCGAACCAUGGCCUAUCAGCUAGUUGGCGGGGUAACGGCCCACCAAGGCAAUGACGGGUAGCCGGACUGAGAGGUUGAACGGCCACACGGGAACUGAGACACGGUCCCGACAUCUACGGAUGGCAGCAGUAGGGAAUCUUGCGCAAUGGGCGAAAGCCUGACGCAGCGACACCGCGUGGGGGAUGAAGGCCUUCGGGUUGUAAACCCCUUUCAUGAGGGAAGAACACUGACCUAACCUCAGGAAGAAGCACCGGCUAACUCCGUGCCAGCAGCCGCGGUAAU
rnacentral:rRNA from 1 species